UUGCCCUGCUGUCUCAUAGCAGAAGACUCUCCAGUGAUAGCUGAAUGAGGUACAAGCUCAUUUGGAAAUUCAGGUAAUUUUCUUCUCCUUUCUUUUCUUUUUAAGAUUUUUAUUUAUUUAUUCGACAGAGAAAGAGAGAGAGAAAGAGCACAAGCAGCAGGAGAGGGAGAAGCAGACUCCUCAAUGAACAGGGAGCCUGACUAAGGGCUCGAUACCAGGACCCCGGGAUCAUGACCUGAGACAAAGGCAGAUGCUUCACCAACUGAGCUACCCAGGCGCCAUUUUCUCCUUUCUUACUUCCCCUUUCCAUGAGAGUUUCUUCCAUUUCUUUUGAGCUAACUAUGGCAGAGAGGUGCAGGAAAUUAUCAUUAACCAUGGUAUUAAAAUUUCUGGCCUCAAUUACAGUCUUUCAGAAUUAAACAACAGCGCUUUAACUAGAGAACUAUCUACAGAACCAGCCCCAAGAACAUCAAGCACUGACACUGUUCCUGUUUUGAAGAUGCUUUUAACACAGGGAAGGAAGUUGAAAUCUUAAAGAUUAAGCCAAUUCAUGGUGAUGUAGACUGAAGCGGGCAUAAUGAAACACACCGGGAUCAUUCAACUGCUAUUGGAUGGGGUGCAUAGCAAUGCCUCUCUUUAGCAUUGAAGCAGCAGAUUACAGGUUGACAUUGCACUUCUACCCCUGAUACUUCUCGGCCUUCAUCUCUCUUCUAGUCAACAACAUACCAUUACAGAUGAGGUCAUCUGGGGGAACUGUUUACAGUUUCAGAUAUCACCAGGCACUACUGAAAAGGAAGAAAACUAAAACUCUCUUUC